AGAAAGGUCCCAAUAGGGACCAUACUCACUUAAUACACCAUUUUGU
rfam:Xenopus laevis strain J chromosome 1S, whole genome shotgun sequence.